rnacentral:lncRNA from 1 species
AAUUCACGAAAAACCUAGCUCCUGGUUUUUGGUGGUUUAAACCCCCUCCUGGUUUAAACCCCGAGCUGGGUUUUUCAUUUGCGUUUCACAAAAGAGGUUUAAACCCCGAGGGGGUUUAAAUGCGUCAUAAAACGUCAUGAAACGUCAUAUUUUUUAGUCUGCUCUUAGAUGUGGUUUAAACCAUGGUUUAAUUUUACGAGCAUGCGCACUUGAGGAAUUUGUGAAAAAUCGCUGAAGUGAAGAAAACUUUUCUUGCGGUCCUGGACCUGUCAAGCGGUCUUCUUGAUUAGAAAUUCAAUUACAUUGGCAUCAGAGGUACCAUACAGUGUAGGUCUCUAUGGAUUAUCUCCAUCUUCUUCACAGCCUUAAAAUACUAAGAGCUACCUUUCCCAAGACAUUGUGGGCUACGUGAUGCUAAAAAGCCAUCGAAAUCGUACAAGGAUGGGCCAUCUCGAGAUCAGUAUCGACUGUCAAAAGAAACCGUCACCAAUAUGCUGGAAGCCGAAAUGAAGAGGGACAUACAGAGGAUUGAUCAACUUCCUGUUUAUUUGCAGUUGUUGACAACUGUCCAUUUUUAUGCAGUGGGAUCAUUUUAGAAAGAUGCAUGGUGAUGAGGCAGCAAUAUCGCAGUCAUCAAUGUGUCAGAAGCUAAAGCAAGAGGCAAUACAUGAAGAUUCCUACAACAAGAGAAGAAGUUGAAGCAACUCGAAGACAGUUCUAUCUAACUGUUAGAUUUCAAGGAGUGAAAGGUGUAAUUGAUGGGACACAUGUCUACAUCAAGAAGGGGGGGGGGAUUGGGCCAUAUGCUUCUUAUAUACCCUUCCAACUUCAUGUGGAGAGGAAUGCCUAUAACAAUGGCAAAAGCAUUAAGAACAUAGAAACACAGAGUUCAUUCAAAUUUAUGAAGAAUACUUUACUUCUUUAUUUGUUAAUGAAUUGAUUGGUAUAACCUCGUGAUUCCUGCAGCUUAGCUUCAGCAACCUCUCUUUAUUCAAAACGUCCAUUCGUAGUUUGUGCUCCUUCAAGCUCAUAUCGUGUCUUUCAAUCUCAUUUCAUGCUCUUUCAAUCUCAUAUCAUGUUCUUUCACUCUCAUCUUGUACUCUUUAUAAAUUCGAGGCCAUGUUUCUUCCAUUGAACUUCAAUUCUAACGGCAUGCAAUUCUACCUGCUCAAACUCUUCUGAUAGAUGAUUCUUUUUUCCUUGAGAUGGGUAAUUCAAAUUCCAUUUUGCAGAACAAAGGUUUGUGGUAUUGCUGCAGGGUUGCAUUUAAGUACAUAACAUAUAGUAACAGUACAGUUGUAAAACACAUACUAUAAAUCAUGUUGUCAAAGAUGUAUGUUGUUUAACGUACUGGUAACUCUCUACUUGAUCAGUUCAGCUUCUGACACCAAUGUACAUUGUUGUGUUUUCUGACUGUUCUCGGAACCAUAAAUUGAAUUUUUGAAAACAUUAAAGACUUAAUUAUAAAAAUUUCUUUAAAAACAGACAACAAUGCAAUGUAUUCUUUUCAGAGGUAUACAAUAUUCAGUGCACAGUUCAUUGAAUUGCUUGAAUCUGUUAACAUACAUAUAUUGAAGCCCUUUUCAUAGUUCAAAUGAUUCACCCUCCCAGUUCAGUUUUA